rnacentral:sRNA from 1 species
CAAUUACCGGCUCAUUCCGUCGCGUAUCUGGCUGAUAAAGAAAUACCGUCCUGCUCAGCGACAAUGUCCGGCAUGCCUGGCGUAUGCUCAUCGAAAACUGUGCGGUCAGAGAGCUGACGAAUUCACGCUUUAUCGCUGAUUUU